GAAAAUGUAAUUGGAGGCGAUACGCCACCCACUAAAUGAAUGACCCCCAUUUCCACCAGGGAAGGAAGGAUUUUCCAAAAUGUGAAAUACCCAUCAGAUGAAUUUGAAAGAUCUUUGAAAAUGAGCUUGAGGCCGAUCGGAUGGUAAACAAAAAAGUUUCAUGCAUACGCUUUUCGCGAUUUUUCCAUACUUGCGGGUGGAAUUUCCCGAAACCCCGUUUUAAGGUGCAGUUCCAUCACAUAAGAGAUAGUUUAAAUAUACCCAAGCUGGUAUGUUUUAACAUCAUCCACUACCCACUCAACUUGUCCAACUUCAAAUCGUCACGGCUUACGCACAACCUAUAUCAGGUACGACUGUGCCAAGCCAAGCCAGGCUAAAAAGAUAUCGUUAUUCUGCUCAAAGCAGUGCUUUACGCUUUCUCAACCACUCAAGAAGCUAUGGAAUUGUUUGCCUAUUACCUUUUGUUAGGCUGGAUCGCUGGCUUGCAAUCUUAUCAAAAAAAAUUAUGAAAAAUGCAUAAAUACCGUCCGAACUAGCUGUUUAUUUCUUGUAAACUUAUUAAAAAAAAAAAACAUUUUAAUUGCGUAAAA